UACGUAGGGGGCAAGCGUUGUCCGGAUUUAUUGGGCGUAAAGAGCGUGUAGGCGGCUUUACAGGUCCGUUGUGAAAACUCGAGGCUCAACCUCGAGACGCCGGUGGAAACCGUAAAGCUAGAGUCCGGAAGAGGAGAGUGGAAUUCCUGGUGUAGCGGUGAAAUGCGCAGAUAUCAGGAGGAACACCCGUGGCGAAGGCGGCAUCCUGGACCAAUACUGACACUGAGGAGCGAAAGCCAGGGAGCAAACGGG
rnacentral:rRNA from 1 species